ensembl:lncRNA
AAUAAACAGACGACAUAUUUAACAAUAAUAAUAACACAAUCAUUGGGAAAACAUCUGAAGCAGUUCCUGAGAAGAGAGAAAAGAAGAAAAGUUAUUAACAUGUUAAUGUUGUUAGUGUGUCUGUGUGUACAUCUAAUUGUUAGUGUGUCUGUGUGUACAUCUAAAUGUUAGUGUGUCUGUGUGUACAUCUAAAUAUUAUUAUGUCUUUGUGUACAUCUAAAUAUUAGUGUGUGUCUUUGUUUAGUACCAAAUGUUAGUGUGUCUGUGUGUACAUCUAAAUGUUAGUGUGUCCCGAUGACGUGGCGUCCUGAUGGCGUCCUGUUGGUCUGCAGACAAGGAGAAGAGACGUGAGGAGGAUCAUCAGGAUGUGUCCGUGUGUACAUCUAAUUGUUAUUGUGUCUUUGUGUACAUCUAAAUAUUAGUGUGUGUCUUUGUUUAGAACCAAAUGAUAGUGUGUCUGUGUGUAUAUCUAAUUGUUAUUGUGUCUUUGUGUACAUCUAAAUAUUAGUGUGUCAUUGUUUAGAACCAAAUGAUAGUGUGUCUGUGUGUACAUCUAAUUGUUAUUGUGUCUUUGUGUACAUCUAAAUAUUAGUGUGUGUCAUUGUUUAGAACCAAAUGAUAGUGUGUCUGUGUGUACAUCUAAUUGUUAGUGUGUGUCUUUGUUUAGAACCAAAUGUUAAUGUGUCUGUGAGUACAUCUGUGUGUGUGUGUGUGUGUGUGUGUGUGUGUGUUAGAUCUGGAUUUGCUCCUGAGGGGUUGACGCGGCGUCCUGAUGGCGUCCUGAUGGAAUCCUGAUGGCGUCCCGAUGACGUGGCGUCCUGAUGGUGUCCUGAUGACGUGGCGUCCUGAUGGCGUCCUGUUGGUCUGCAGACAAGGAGAAGAGACGUGAGGAUGGUCAUCAGCACGUGUCAGUGUGUACAUCUAAUUGUUAGUGUGUCUGUGUGUAGAUCUAAUUGUUAGUGUGUCCGUGUGUACAUCUAAUUGUUAGUGUGUCUGUGUGUAGAUCUAAUUGUUAGUGUGUCUGUGUGUACAUCUAAAUAUUAAUGUGUCUUUGUGUACAUCUAAAUGUUAGUGUGUGUCUUUGUUUAGAACCAAAUGUUAGUGUGUCUGUGUGUACAUCUAAUUGUUAGUGUGUCUGUGUGUGGAUCUAAUUGUUAGUGUCUGUGUGUACAUCUAAUUGUUAUGUCUUUGUGUACAUCUAAUAAAGUGUAUCUAAGUGUAUGUCAUGCGUAGAUCUGGAUUUGCUCCUGAGGGGUUGACGUGGCGUCUGAUGGCGUCCCGUUGGUCUGCAGACAAGGAGAAGAGACGUGAGCAGGAUCAUCAGGAUGUGAGACAAGAUUCAUAGAUCCAAUUAUUUUAAUUUGAUGCACAUUUUAAUUAUUUCAUGUUUGUAUGGAUGUGUAAAUCUACAUUAUAUAUUUGUGGUUGUUAAACUGUAUUUCUGUAUUUGCUUUUUAUGUUUAGCUAGUCUCUG